rnacentral:sRNA from 17 species
GUCAGUAACUCAGGGUUAAAGCCACUGAGCUUGUAAGAGCAAAUCUCGAAGCAGGCUAUUCUGACCAGCCUAAGUCUUAACGACUACGUUAUUUGGGUUACGACACCUCGGAAUGCGAAGCUAGUUCCCUGCUCUGUC